rnacentral:tRNA from 1 species
GAAAGUAGUUCAGUGGUCGAGCAUGUGCCUACCAUGCACAAGGCCCUGAGUUCAAUUCCCAGCACA